CACCAUUCCUCUUCCAAUUCUACGUAAUUGAAGAUGAAGUCUCAGCUGCAAAAUCCCAAAUCCUUCUCUGUCUUCCCAACAUCCUCCAUUAACCCUAAUUAUCUUACGAGGCAUGCCAACCCCUCUCACAUCAAACUCCUUCCACGCCACUAUGUGCCUAUCGAACAUAAUAAGGAAAGGUCCUCAAUUAUGGUACGUGCUAAUUCUAAUGAACUCAGGCCUUCAUCAGCAUCCGCGGUCGCAUUAACAGAGAUUAAGGCAGUAACCAUAAGGGCUGUGGUUACAGUCCAGAUAAGUGUUGGUAACUUCAUCUCCACCAUAGGCUUGACUCGGCCCCUCGAUGACCUUGCCGAUGUGUUCGGCGGAACCAUGCUUUUGGAGCUUCUUAGCGCCGAGCUUGACUCCAGACCACACACCUACACCCAUAUCAUCUUCUCCUGUGCUCUCUCUAUUGUAGACUCUCUCUCUCUCCUUCUCACUUGUACGGACGAGACUCAAAACCCUUGCAAACGUAACGGAUCGAAGUGGAAAAUGGUACCUUUGUGUUCGUGAUGAUCAUACGAGUUUAACCAUACCAAUUUCAGGGAAUUUGAAGCUUAUAGGAAGCUUAGGGAGGUCCUUAGGAAGCUCAGGGUGGUUCGUUGGGUGGAAUUGGACGUCGAGAAAGCUAGUUUUGAAAUUGGUCAGUUUUUCUCGAAUUUUUCCGGCUAGAUCUUGUGAUCUUUGAGGUUUCAAACAGGUAUACCGUUGUUCUACUCAUCUCCAGCUUUCCAUUGGUGCAAGUUUCAUAGAAAUUGGUGAAGAAACGAGUGAGAACGAAGGGUUUAAAGUUUUUUCCAGGUUUCCGGCGACCGGCAACUCGCCGCAGAAGAAGACGGAAUAUUCCGUCAGUUAGGACGGAAUAUUCUGACGCCGUCAGUCAGAUUUAACGGAAUCCAUUAGGGUUUAACGGAAUAUUCCUGACGGGGUUAACUGAUGCCGUCAGUGUGACUGGCAUUUGGCCGCGAGUGGGGGGCGCGUAGGUCCGUGCACUUGCCGGAGCGUGGCGGCGCGUGGGGUCUCGAAAAAUUAUUUUAAAAAUAUGGGGAUGUUCGUGAGGUUGAGUAGAUCACGUUGGUUUAUCCAAACAUCCCAUUUGAGCAUUGUAUGAGAAGUUAUUACCUAGUUUUGGUUAUGUGCUUUAAA